UUAUCAACCCUCAAGCCCGGCUUGUUAUUGGGUCCUGUAUCGUUAAACCGAUAGGCCCGAAAGAUAAUGGCGGCGUCGAGAUCGACCCCAGGUGCAGCGAGCUUUGUAAGCAUACACUGACAGGUCCUCUCGUCCCGGCCCUCAACCCCAAUUUUUCUAAGGUUGACCUCGGAUCAGGUAGGAAUACCCGCUGAACUUAA
rnacentral:misc_RNA from 1 species